UACGUAGGGGGCUAGCGUUGUCCGGAAUCAUUGGGCGUAAAGAGCGUGUAGGCGGCCCGGUAAGUCCGCUGUGAAAGUCGGGGGCUCAACCCUCGAAUGCCGGUGGAUACUGUCGGGCUAGAGUGCGGAAGAGGCGAGUGGAAUUCCUGGUGUAGCAGUGAAAUGCGCAGAUAUCAGGAGGAACACCGAUUGCGAAGGCAGCUCGCUGGGACGUAACUGACGCUGAGACGCGAAAGCGUGGGGAGCAAACAGG
rnacentral:rRNA from 1 species